GGGGCUGUAGCUCAGUUGGGAGAGCGUCUGACUGGCAGUCAGAAGGCCGGGGGUUCGAGUCCCCCCAGCUCCACCA
rnacentral:tRNA from 1 species